rnacentral:rRNA from 1 species
GAUGAACGCUGGCGGCGUGCCUAAUACAUGCAAGUCGAGCGAACAGACGAGGAGCUUGCUCCUCUGACGUUAGCGGCGGACGGGUGAGUAACACGUGGAUAACCUACCUAUAAGACUGGGAUAACUUCGGGAAACCGGAGCUAAUACCGGAUAAUAUAUUGAACCGCAUGGUUCAAUAGUGAAAGACGGUUUUGCUGUCACUUAUAGAUGGAUCCGCGCCGCAUUAGCUAGUUGGUAAGGUAACGGCUUACCAAGGCAACGAUGCGUAGACGACCUGAGAGGGUGAUCGGCCACACUGGAACUGAGACACGGUCCAGGGUCCUACGGGAGGCAGCAGUAGGGAAUGUUCCGCAAUGGGCGAAAGCAUGACGGAGCAACGCCGCGUGAGUGAUGAAGGUCUUCGGAUCGUAAAACUCUGUUAUUAGGGAAGAACAAAUGUGUAAGUAACUAUGCACGUCUUGACGGUACCUAAUCAGAAAGCCACGGCUAACUACGUG